AUUCCAGCUCCAAUAGCGUAUAUUAAAGUUGUUGCAGUUAAAAAGCUCGUAGUUGGAUUUGUGGUGCUACCUGCAGUCCAAUUAGUUUUGGUGCUAGCGGGUGGUGCCAUCUUUGGGUGGAACCUGUAGGGCAUUAGCUUGUUUUGCAGGGGAUAUCCAUCGUUUACUGUGAAAAAAUUAGAGUGUUCAAAGCAGGCUUACGCCGAUGAAUAUACUAGCAUGGAAUAAUGAAAUAGGACUUUGGUACUAUUUUGUUGGUUUGCGCGCCAAAGUAAUGAUUAAUAGGGACAGUUGGGGGUAUUCGUAUUCCAUAGUCAGAGGUGAAAUUCUUGGAUUUUUGGAAGACGAACUACUGCGAAAGCAUUUACCAAGGAUGUU
rnacentral:rRNA from 2 species